rnacentral:rRNA from 1 species
CCUACGGGAGGCUGCAGUGGGGAAUAUUGGGCAAUGGGCGCAAGCCUGACCCAGCAACGCCGCGUGAAGGAAGAAGGCUUUCGGGUUGUAAACUUCUUUUAAGAGGGAAGAGCAGAAGACGGUACCUCUUGAAUAAGCCACGGCUAACCACGUGCCAGCAGCCGCGGUAAUACGUAGGUGGCAAGCGUUGUCCGGAUUUACUGGGGGUAAAGGGCGUGCAGCCGGGAAGACAAGUCAGAUGUGAAAUCCCGCGGCUCAACCGCGGAACUGCAUUUGAAACUGUUUUUCUUGAGUACCGGAGAGGUCAUCGGAAUUCCUUGUGUAGCGGUGAAAUGCGUAGAUAUAAGGAAGAACACCAGUGGCGAAGGCGGAUGACUGGACGGCAACUGACGGUGAGGCGCGAAAGCGUGGGGAGCAAACAGGAUUAGAUACCCCAGUAGUC